rnacentral:rRNA from 1 species
UACGGGGGGGGCAAGCGUUGUUCGGAAUUACUGGGCGUAAAGGGCUCGUAGGCGGCCAACUAAGUCGGACGUGAAAUCCCUCGGCUUAACCGGGGAACUGCGUCCGAUACUGGAUGGCUUGAGUUCGGGAGAGGGAUGCGGAAUUCCAGGUGUAGCGGUGAAAUGCGUAGAUAUCUGGAGGAACACCGGUGGCGAAGGCGGCAUCCUGGACCGACAUUGACGCUGAGGCGCGAAAGCCAGGGAGCAAAGCGGG